rnacentral:rRNA from 1 species
AUUGAACGCUGGCGGCAUGCCUAACACAUGCAAGUCGAACGGGGCAGCAAUGCCUAGUGGCGGACGGGUGAGUAACACGUGGGAACGUGCCUUUAGGUUCGGAAUAGCUCCUGGAAACGGGUGGUAAUGCCGAAUGUGCCCUUCGGGGGAAAGAUUUAUCGCCUUUAGAGCGGCCCGCGUCUGAUUAGCUAGUUGGUGAGGUAAUGGCUCACCAAGGCGACGAUCAGUAGCUGGUCUGAGAGGAUGACCAGCCACAUUGGGACUGAGACACGGCCCAAACUCCUACGGGGGGCAGCAGUGGGGAAUCUUGCGCAAUGGGCGAAAGCCUGACGCAGCCAUGCCGCGUGGAUGAUGAAGGUCUUAGGAUUGUAAAAUCCUUUCACCGGUGAAGAUAAUGACUGUAGCCGGAAAAGAAGCCCCGGCUAACUUCGUGCCAGCCGCCGCAGUAAUAC